rnacentral:rRNA from 1 species
UACGUAGGGGGCGAGCGUUGUCCGGAUUUAUUGGGCGUAAAGAGCGCGUAGGCGGCCCUGUAAGUCCGCUGUGAAAGUCAAGGGCUCAACCCUUGGAUGCCGGUGGAUACUGCAGGGCUAGAGUCCGGAAGAGGCGAGUGGAAUUCCUGGUGUAGCGGUGAAAUGCGCAGAUAUCAGGAGGAACACCGAUGGCGAAGGCAGCUCGCUGGGACGGUACUGACGCUGAGGAGCGAAAGCGUGGGGAGCGAACAGG